rnacentral:rRNA from 1 species
UACGUAGGCAGCGAGCGUUGUUCGGAGUUACUGGGCGUAAAGAGUGCGUAGGCGGUUUUCUAAGUUUGGUGUGAAAUCUCCCGGCUUAACUGGGAGGGUGCGCCGAAGACUGGAAGGCUUGAGUAUGGGAGAGGUAAGCGGAAUUCCUGGUGUAGCGGUGAAAUGCGUAGAUAUCGAGAGGAACACCUGCGGCGAAGGCGGGUAGCUGGGCCGACACUGACGCUGAGGCGCGAAAGCCAGGGGAGCAAACGGG